GUAGGGAAUAUUGGGCAAUGGAGGCAACUCUGACCCAGCCAUGUCGCGUGCAGGAUGACGGCCCUCUGGGUUGUAAACUGCUUUUAUACGGGAAGAAAAAAUACUACGUGUAGUAUACUGACGGUACCGUAAGAAUAAGGAUCGGCUAACUCCGUGCCAGCAGCCGCGGUAAUACGGAUGAUCCAAGCGUUGUCCGGAUUUAUUGGGUUUAAAGGGUGCGUAGGCGGAUCUUUAAGUCAGUGGUGAAAGCCUGCAGCUUAACUGUAGAAUUGCCAUUGAAACUGAAGAUCUUGAAUGUGGUUAAAGUAGGCGGAAUGUAUCAUGUAGCGGUGAAAUGCUUAGAUAUGAUACAGAACACCGAUAGCGAAGGCAGCUUGCUGAACCAUUAUUGACGCUGAGGCACGAAAGCGUGGGGAGCGAACAGGAUUAGAAACCCCAGUAGUCC
rnacentral:rRNA from 1 species